UACGUAGGGUGCGAGCGUUGUCCGGAAUUAUUGGGCGUAAAGGGCUCGUAGGCGGUCUGUUGCGUCGGGAGUGAAAACUCAGGGCUUAACCCUGAGCCUGCUUCCGAUACGGGCAGACUCGAGGUAUGCAGGGGAGAACGGAAUUCCUGGUGUAGCGGUGAAAUGCGCAGAUAUCAGGAGGAACACCGGUGGCGAAGGCGGUUCUCUGGGCAUUACCUGACGCUGAGGAGCGAAAGUGUGGGGAGCGAACAGG
rnacentral:rRNA from 1 species